GUCUACAGCCAUGCCACCCUGAAUGUGCCCAAUCUUGUCUGAUCUCAGAAGCUAAGCAGGGUUGGACCUGGUUAGUACUCGGAUGGGAGACUACCUAGGAAUAGCAGGUGCUGUAGGUG
rnacentral:rRNA from 1 species